GAGCGGACAACUUUGCGGGAAGUUUAAAGACGGCUAGAGAGUCCUUCGCGAUCCGAUAAAAGAGCUGAGGUCCGUGUUGGUAGUGUGCCCACCAGACAUUUAUACAGCCAACUUCUACAGAUCAACGUUCUAGAAAUGACGAAGACAGGAAAACCAGAUGAAUACUGGGCAGGUGUCUUAUCCCUGUAUGCCCAAGGCAAAUACCGGUUUUCAACAGGCAAGAAGCCAGGGGCCAAGAGGUGGAAAGCUGUCAUUCAGCGCAUUGACGCUUGUCCAUUAACUCCUGUUUUCAACCAGAGAGUCCGUGAAUAUGACAUCUUUGGUAAAAGAAUUCCUUGCAGGUGUGGAUAUCAUAGGAGGAGAGUUGUGACCUGUGUGGGAAAAAGGUCAGUGGUGCAAUUGGGCUGCUUCUCCACAUUGAAGAAGGCCAUCUUGUGGAAAGCAGUGUGUGUAAUGCUUCACAAGAGCAACUACCACUAUCACCAGUACAACAUUCACAACAUCCAC